UAGUCCCUUAAGAAUAAUUAUGAUGCAGAAACUAAUUGGAAUCUUCCUGGAGUUUGUUAUUAACAAUCAUAUGUUAAAUAUACUUGUCUUAAGAUACACAGUUGGAAUCACUGGUUUUUUCCCAGAUCAAUGCUAUAAAGUCAAUUUUUGUCAUGACAAUCACAUUCUCUAAAGUCAAAGGAGUGAGAUCUGAACCUGACCUAAGAACACCUGGCACCCCAUGCACUCAAUAGACUGUCAUUGCUCAUGACUGGCACCAUCUAAGGAGGAAAACACUGAUGUCAAGAAAGCCAGUUUGACAAUGGCAGAUACAGAGGAGCCAGCCACAGUCGUCAUUCCCAACAAGACUUUUCAG